rnacentral:lncRNA from 1 species
AGUAAUCACUGGCGAGCAAUAAUGUGAUAGGGCAUCAGGAGGAAGAGAGCUUGUCGUGCUAAGACAUUCUGAAAAUAAACUAUACUUUCUUUUUCUUUCUUUCAUCACAGGUGUAAUACUUCUCCACAUCUGCUUCAGGAAGAAAGUGCCUGCUACUCUUACUGUUUCUACGCAGGUUCAUGCCAGCCCAGAACGCAGAAUCAGAAUGAAGUCGUAAAGCUUUGACCAUCUGCUCUCCUGCAUCGAGGCUAAUUUUG